rnacentral:rRNA from 1 species
UACGUAGGGUCCGAGCGUUGUCCGGAAUUACUGGGCGUAAAGGGUGUGUAGGCGGUUGUUUAAGUUUGGUGUGAAAUCUCCCGGCUCAACUGGGAGGGUGCGCCGAAUACUGAAUGACUUGGAGUGCGGGAGAGGAGAGUGGAAUUCCUGGUGUAGCGGUGAAAUGCGUAGAUAUCAGGAGGAACACCGGUGGUGUAGACGGCUCUCUGGACCGUAACUGACGCUGAGACACGAAAGCGUGGGUAGCAAACAGG